CUCCAGGGCAUUGAGACUGAUAUAGAUGGUUCCAGAAAGUGUCUUCCUGACGAGACUGCCUGUCCUUGCUGCUGAAAAGCAUCUCUACAUGAGGUUACCACCAACACGUUCCAGAUGGUGCUAUCUGGCUGAUGUAACUUGGCUGAUGUAACACUUGAAGCUCAGAAUUCAGGCAUUUAGUCUCAUCACAGCUCAAGACUUCCCGGUCCCUGCAGGACUAAAGGACCUGUCAGGAUAGAAAGGAAGAUAAAUGGUGCAAAUGCUUGAAGAAAGCCUGCAGCCCCCAGCCAGGAAGUGGAAAAUGGGAAGAUCAGCUUUCAAGUCCAACAACAAAGCAACUAUACAGUAGCUGAAGGACAGAAAGGUGAACAAGUCAAACAUCAAA